UUAUAUCGAUAUCUUAUUAAGCGUGGUUAAUUAGAAUAUUUGUUUCGUCUGCUAACACUUUGUUUCACAGUUUCGAAAAAGGAAAGUGAGAUCACUGAGAUGAAGUUUCAGAUAUUUUUAUUAUAGAAAACUGAACAGAUCACUGGUUUGGAUUGGAAACUUGUACGUGGCUGCAAGAUAAAUAGCAGAACAAAACAAAAUGUGGCUGUCGUGUGAACAUCGAGACUCCCCAUCAUGCUCUCCUCUCCAUGCUGUUUCUCAGAUUUCAGGCCUGAGCCAGUCAUCGUAACCACAAGAAGUUUUGAUACUGACCUAUCACACCUAUCAUCACCAACAAUCUCAGCAUAAUCAAUUGGAUCUAAACAGCUCUUAGUGUAAUUGGAAAACUAUGUCCUCGUGUACACCCAUGUGAGUGUGGGGGUAUUCACGAGGACCUCUUUUCCUAUUCUGCCUGGCGUCAACUUUCCUGAGGAUGGAGUUGUUGGAGCACUUGUGGAUGCCUGGCUGUGGAUUUCAUGGGCUUAAAGGUAGGCCAAA